GACGAACGCUGGCGGCGUGCUUAACACAUGCAAGUCGAACGAGUGGCGAACGGGUGAGUAAUAUGUGGGUAACCUGCCCUCUUUUUGGGAUAAGCCUUUGAAACGGGGUCUAAUACCGACUUACGGGGGAUGGGCUCGGGGCCUAUCAGCUUGUUGGGGGGGGGAUGGCCUACCACGGCGGUGACGGGUUGCCGGCCUGAGAGGGUGACCGGCGACAUUGGCACGGAGCAACGGCCGAGAGUACUACGGGGGGCAGCAGUGUGGGAUAUUGGAGCAUGGGCGAAAGCCUGAUGCAGCGAGGCUGCGUGGGGCAUGAGGGCUGUCGGGUUGUAAACCUCUUUCGCAAUCGAACGGGUAGGUGGAGAAGAAGCGCCGGCUAACUACGUGCCAGCAGCCGCGGUAAUAC
rnacentral:rRNA from 1 species